UAGGGAAUAUUAGAAAUGGACGAAAGUCUGAUCUAGCAACACCGCGUGCGCGAAGAAGGCCUUCGGGUCGUAAAGCACUUUUUGGAAGGAAUAGGAAGGAAUGUACUUCCAGAAUAAGUCUCGGCUAACUACGUGCCAGCAGCCGCGGUAACACGUAGGAGGCAAACGUUAUCCGGAUUUACUGGGCGUAAAGCGCGUGUAGGCGGGCUAUUAAGUCAGGUGUUAAAGCCCGGGGCUCAACCCCGGCCCGCACCUGAAACUGGUAGUCUUGAGUCUGGUAGGGGAAAGUGGAAUUCCCAGUGUAGCGGUGAAAUGCGCAGAUAUUGGGAAGAACACCAGUGGCGAAGGCGGCUUUCUAGGCCACGACUGACGCUGAGGCGCGAAAGCGUGGGGAGCAAACA
rnacentral:rRNA from 1 species